GCCUGGCUGGCUGAAUCGGGAGAGCCUGUGUCUCUUGAUCUCAGGGUCAUGAGUUCAAGCCCCAUGUUGGGCA
rnacentral:tRNA from 1 species